AGGGAAAGAUUAAUGCCUACCUUAUCAAUG
rnacentral:piRNA from 1 species